rnacentral:rRNA from 1 species
GAUGAACGCUGGCGGCGUGCCUAAUACAUGCAAGUCGAGCGAACAGAUAAGGAGCUUGCUCCUUUGACGUUAGCGGCGGACGGGUGAGUAACACGUGGGUAACCUACCUAUAAGACUGGGAUAACUUCGGGAAACCGGAGCUAAUACCGGAUAAUAUUUCGAACCGCAUGGUUCGAUAGUGAAAGAUGGUUUUGCUAUCACUUAUAGAUGGACCCGCGCCGUAUUAGCUAGUUGGUAAGGUAACGGCUUACCAAGGCGACGAUAUGUAGCCGACCUGAGAGGGUGAUCGGCCACACUGGAACUGAGACACGGUCCAGACUCCUACGGGAGGCAGCAGUAGGGAAUCUUCCGCAAUGGGCGAAAGCCUGACGGAGCAACGCCGCGUGAGUGAUGAAGGUCUUCGGAUCGUAAAACUCUGUUAUUAGGGAAGAACAUACGUGUAAGUAACUGUGCACGUCUUGACGGUACCUAAUCAGAAAGCCACGGCUAACUACGUG